rnacentral:rRNA from 1 species
GAUGAACGCUGGCGGCGUGCCUAAUACAUGCAAGUCGAGCGAACAGACGAGGAGCUUGCUCCUCUGACGUUAGCGGCGGACGGGUGAGUAACACGUGGAUAACCUACCUAUAAGACUGGGAUAACUUCGGGAAACCGGAGCUAAUACCGGAUAAUAUAUUGAACCGCAUGGUUCAAUAGUGAAAGACGGUUUUGCUGUCACUUAUAGAUGGAUCCGCGCCGCAUUAGCUAGUUGGUAAGGUAACGGCUUACCAAGGCAACGAUGCGUAGCCGACCUGAGAGGGUGAUCGGCCACACUGGAACUGAGACACGGUCCAGACUCCUACGGGAGGCAGCAGUAGGGAAUCUUCCGCAAUGGGCGAAAGCUGGACGGAGCAACGCCGCGUGAGUGAUGAAGGUCUUCGGAUCGUAAAACUCUGUUAUUAGGGAAGAACAAAUGUGUAAGUAACUAUGCACGUCUUGACGGUACCUAAUCAGAAAGCCACGGCUAACUACG